rnacentral:rRNA from 1 species
GACGAACGCUGGCGGCGUGCUUAACACAUGCAAGUCGAACGGGCCUUGUCCCCUUUUUUUUGGGGGUGGGGUUAGUGGCGAACGGGUGAGUAACACGUGAGUAACCUGCCCCUCACUUCUGGAUAACCGCUUGAAAGGGUGGCUAAUACGGGGUGUUCUGGCCUGCUCGCAUGGGUGGGUUUGGAAAGAUUCGACCGGUUUUGGUUGUUUUGGUGGGGGAUGGGCUCGCGGCCUAUCAGCUUGUUGGUGGGGUGAUGGCCUGCCAAGGCUUUGACGGGUAGCCGGCCUGAGAGGGUGGGCGGUCACACUGGGACUGAGACACGGCCCAGACUACUACGGGAGGCAGCAGUGGGGAAUAUUGCACAAUGGGCGCAAGCCUGAUGCAGCGACGCCGCGUGAGGGAUGGAGGCCUUCGGGUUGUGAACCUCUUUCGCCAGUGAAGAAGGUCCUGCUCUUUGUGGUGGGGUUGACGGUAGCUGGGUUAAUGAAGCGCCGGCUAACUACGUG